GAUGAACGCUGGCGGCGUGCCUAAUACAUGCAAGUCGAGCGAACGGACGAGAAGCUUGCUCCUCUGAGGUUAGCGGCGGACGGGUGAGUAACACGUGGAUAACCUACCUAUAAGACUGGGAUAACUUCGGGAAACCGGAGCUAAUACCGGAUCAUAUCUUGAACCGCAUGGUUCAAGAGUGAAAGACGGUUUUGCUGUCACUUAUAGAUGGAUCCGCGCUGCAUUAGCUAGUUGGUAAGGUAACGGCUUACCAAGGCGACGAUGCUUAGCCGACCUGAGAGGGUGAUCGGCCACACUGGAACUGAGACACGGUCCAGACUCCUACGGGAGGCAGCAGUAGGGAAUCUUCCGCAAUGGGCGAAAGCCUGACGGAGCAACGCCGCGUGAGUGAUGAAGGUCUUCGGAUCGUAAAACUCUGUUAUUAGGGAAGAACAUAUGUGUAAGUAACUGUGCACGUCUUGACGGUACCUAAUCAGAAAGCCACGGCUAACUACGUG
rnacentral:rRNA from 1 species